GAAAUGCGAUAAGUAGUGUGAAUUGUAGAAUUCAGUGAAUCAUCGAAUCUUUGAACGCACAUUGCGCCCUUUGGUAUUCCAAAGGGCAUGCCUGUUCGAGCGUCAUUUGUACCCUCAAGCUUUGCUUGGUGUUGGGCGUCUUGUCUCUAGCUUUGCUGGAGACUCGCCUUAAAGUAAUUGGCAGCCGGCCUACUGGUUUCGGAGCGCAGCACAAGUCGCACUCUCUAUCAGCAAAGGUCUAGCAUCCAUUAAGCCUUUUUUCAACUUUUGACCUCGGAUCAGGUAGGGAUACCCGCUGAACUUAAGC
rnacentral:misc_RNA from 1 species